UUUCAGAAGGGUGAAUCUUAGAGAUGAGUCCCUAAUAAUAAAAUCUCAAGCUGAUCAACACUUAUUUUGCUACUUUUAUGUUUCUAAGAUAGGUCAUUAGUGAUGCCACCAGUGUUGGAAUACAUGAGGAUGGCACAAGUUGAUGUCACAGGUUUUCAUGUGACACUGCAUGGAAACUAAAUAUAGGUUUUUCAAAAGAACACCAAAAGUGUAGACAUAUAUGAUGGGAUUUUCAAAAAGCUGCUAAAAUGUUAUGAAACUGUCAAAAAAGUGUCAAAAUCUUUUUCUGUCCACUGAAUAGGACUCAAUUUGGCUUAUUUGGAACUUUUUAUUCAAAUUAAAUGCUCACAGGUGCUCCUGAAAAUCUCACUCAGGAGAUGAGGUUUAAAAUGUUGCUUGAGCAGUCAAGUCAUGUCCCUCUUGGCCAUUAGUGCCUGUGCAGCCCAGUGGUGUGACAGUCUGAACCAAUAUUACCCUCUUUUGUGUAUGGCUUCCUGAUUACUUUGAGUGUCAGGAGCUUUUCCCCAGUGCCUACCUUAAGCUUUUCCUUCAUUAACUUCAAGCCAUUACUCGCCAUUCUAACUUCUCCUGAGACUGAGUAAUUCUUUUCUUUCCUUUUGUUGCCUUGAAAUUAUUUGUAGUCUGUGAUCACGUCUCCUUGGGUUUGCACUUGUCUAGACUAAAUAUAUUUAGCUAUUUUACCGUCACUCUGCAUGUCUUACUGUGUCAUUUGUUUUCUAUCCUUGUUUUCUCAGGGUUUUCAGUACCUUUCCUAAGCAGAGAAUACUGGUUCAGCAUGGUCACACUAGAAGUAUGUUAAGUGAUAUUAUUAGAUGUCCAGUUUUCCAUGCUAUUUCUUAUGCAUACUACUGCUGGUAGUACCACCCUGAGUCUCCUAUCUUUCUUCUGGGCAGAAAGUUGAACUAAUUCAGUACAAUUUGCUGUAAGGGCCAACUCAAGCAAUCACUUCUCACAUCAUAGUAACUGUGAGAUUUCCAGUCGAGUAGAUCAGAAUCUUUUUCUGAGAUAAUUUUCUUUUGUUCAAAAAUACAAUUUUAUUUAACCUGAAUCUUUUCAAAAUUGUGUGACAAUUAAAACAAUAUUUUUAAAGUUAUUGAUGAAUGCUGACCAGUAUUUUCUGCUCAGUGAUGUAUUUGUUUUAUCUUCUACAAAAUGGAGAGAGAAUAAAAUGUUCUAUAUUAAAGCAUAACAUCUGUUGGAAAGUAAAAAAAAAAAAAAAAAAGAGAGACUAAUUGCUUCAGUUUUUAAUUUAAGGCCUACCUCCACCAAAUAACUCAGUGACUCAUGCAUGCUCAUGGUCUACUGGUUUUUUUUGUUAGGGCUGUAGUUCCACAUACUGAUGUACUAGUAUGAAUGCUUCUCUGUGCUGGGGAAGAUCACAGAACAGAUCCUCCGGGAAGCUAUGCUAAAGCACAUGGAAGACACAGGAGUGAUACAAGACAACCACCAUGGCUCCAGCAAGGGUAGGUCUCACUUGACCAACCUAGUGGCCUUCUAUGAUGGCAUAACUGCAUUAAUGGACAGGAGAAGAGCCGCCAGUAUCAUCUUUCUCGACUUCAGCAUCAAACUUGACAGUGCUGUCUGCAGCGUUGGGAGGAUUGAAUGGAGCUGUGAAAAAAACAGAGGAUAUUAUUAUCAGAACAGAAGAUGACCUUUUUAACCCUUUGGGAAGCACAGCCUCCUGACAGCUUACAGAGUCCAACUCAAGUGCCAACAGAAUGUGUUGCUUUGGUCUUGUAUCUUGUUUGGGGAAUGGAUGAAAAAACCACAAGCUGGAUCUGUGACCUUCUGUGGGAAAUCAACAUUGUAACACUUCCAAAUGAUCACUUUGCAGCACUUCCACUAAGGUCAGCAAAAGGGACAGUCAUUUUGGCACAGAAGCCCUGGUUGGAGAGUUGAUGCACAACCUGGACCUCUGCAGGAACUAGACCUGAAAGCACGUUUCUUCCUCAACCUUUUUCUUACCUUAGGGCAAAGUAGGAAGAUAAUUUACUUCUACAUACAGUUUCUCCUGGUUUUAAGCCAAGACUCUCUGUUCAUAUCCCUGCCCUCUGCUGUAUUUUCCCCCUCACCUGCAUCAAUUAUGGUAGUAGACAGUCUUGGUUUGCAGGAUUACAAGUUAAAUCUGUGUAGACAAGGAAUGAACAUUUUUUCUCCUUUUUUUCUUCACACUUGGCAUCUAGUUGCACUAUAGUCUCAUCCAACAAGACCUCUGAGUGCACAAAAAUUAAGGGUAACGUAACUCCUCCAAAUGGCCAGUCCUCCUGGAAAUAGCAUGCUCUAAAUUAAACAAGUAGCUAGAUUAAAAAUAUAGGUCAACAAGAAUACUAAGCAGCUCCCUUUCACUCCUCCUCCUCAUGCAUAGGCAUGCAAGCUCUCUCAGCCAGAAACAGCAUUAAAAUGAAAUCAUAAUGCAGCACUUAACAGUUCUUCAGUAAUGUGUUGUCAUCACCAGUGUCUUAUUUCAUUAUUCAUAACACUUACAUAGAUUGUAGAAGUUGUUAACACAGCAGCCCAGUUUUAAGAGCCAAUUUAUUCACUUCAGUGUUAUACAGGCCGAAUCCUGAGGUGUGAUGAGAACUUGUGACAUCUACUGGGACCAGUGGUAAACAAGAUAAACUGCAAACUGGUUGCAAGGCUUAAUCUUCUGUCGUGUGCAUAGCUUCAAGUGCAUAAGUACCCCAGUGGAAAUGAAAUGAGAGUCAGAAAUAUCACCAUUUUCCAGGAAAGAAUUCCCUCUAUGAAACAUGAAUAGCAACUUCAUAGUUCUAAUAGAGUAUUUAUCAUUUAUAUAGAACAAAGUAUUUGCCUUGGACUUUGCAUCAAGGUCCAGAAGGCAAAGAAGGUAAUCUCACAUAUAGUUAGCUUGAAACUCAUGUGUAUAUUACCUUCCAUGAGGCUGUUCCCACACUACAAAUAUGACAAAAAAGGUUUUUGUCAAUUUGUUUUAAAUCAACCACAGCUUGUAGUUGGAAGCGUUCAUUUUUAAUGGUUGCAGAUGGAGGAAAAUAAAGGGCACCCUUUCAAAUGGAGAGGAUGAAGUCAUUUAGACAAACAACGAUAUAUUAAAUUAUACUACAGUGAGCCAAAGCAUACAAAUGAGCCCACUGGGUGGCAGCAAUUAAUAUAAAUACUGAUCACAUACAAAAUCGCUAAUGCAUUUUAACACAUAUUUAUCAAUAUGUUUUAGGCUCUGUAGCACCACUCCCAAAAGUCAUGUUUUCAGAAAAUAACAAUAAUAAUAAAUAUAAGAUGCUUAUAGGCAAGAACACAGAAUCAUAAGAAAAUAAGACACUGUUUUCUAGAGUAAAAAGAAUACUUUUUGCCUACUGGCAGGUGAUUUUCCCAGAGGUGAAAUGUCAAACCCAUGUCAAAAGACUCUGAGAAUUUUGUAACAGUUAAAUUUCAGUUUUGUGAGUACACAUAUUCAGAUUGAAUAUUAGGAAGAAUUUCUUUUCAGAAAGAGUGGUGAAGCAUUGGCAUAGGCUGCCCAGGGAAGUGGUGGAGUCACCAUCUCUGGAGAUGUUUAAGGAAAGCAUAGAUGUAGGACUUAGGGACAUGAUUUUGUGGGCAAUAGUAGGUGGAUGGUUGGACUAGAUGAUCUUAGAGGUCUUUUCCAACCUUUAUAAUUCUACGAUUCUCUGAUUAUCUGAUUCUCUGAUAUAAUCUUUAAACCAGAUAUUUCUGGCAGGUUUUUUUCAGAGUUGUGGCUAUGCUGUUUUGGAUUCUUCCCUUAGGAGAUGAGAGACAAGUCCCUCUAGGUCUAUCCAUGCUAUGUGAAUGGCUAUGUGAAUGACAAUGUAUACUCCUCCUCUGAGCUGUGUCUUUGAGUCUUUUCCUCUCCUUGCACUUCAUGAAUUGUCCUUAAGCAAAACAGUUAUCCAAGAGAAAUUCCAUUAAAGAAGUUAUCAAGGAAAAGAUAGGGUAAUUAAAAAUUACUUAAAGAUUAUCCAACAAUGAUUUUCACUCCAGCUUGCAGCAGUGUAGCAAGGAAGACACGAGAGCAGUGCCAUUCUAGAAGUGGAAGACAAAAGCCUCUUGGUUCAAAUAACAAAAGAAAGAUUGUGCAGCUUUAUGACUAUUUUAGUACCAGGAAUAUAUAAGAAGAUAGCAUAGUUUUCAUGUAGUGGGUUAUGUAAUUUUGUUUCUGUCUUCCUACAGUGGGACCAUCUUUUCUAACAAUCAUAUAAAUCACUAGUAUAAAACUAUUAUGUUUUUGCUUAUGUGCAGUUAGAAACAGGGGAGUUGCUUUAUCAUUUUUUGUAUCAGUGCUACUGUUAUGGUUUUGUGAUUUUUUGUUGUCGGUAUUCCACAUCAUUACAUCAUGUAAGGUACGGGCAGUUAAAGAGUUAAU